rnacentral:rRNA from 1 species
UACGGAGGGGGCUAGCGUUAUUCGGAAUCACUGGGCGUAAAGCGCGCGUAGGUGGCCUGUAAAGUCAGGGGUGAAAUCCCGGAGCUUAACUCCGGAACUGCCUUUGAAACUCAUAGGCUUGCAUCUGGUAGAGGGUGGUGGAAUUCCACGUGUAGAGGUGAAAUUCGUAGAGAUGUGGAGGAACACCAGUGGCGAAAGCGGCCACCUGGGCCAGUAUGGACGCUAAGGCGCGAAAGAGUGGGGAGCAAACAGG